rnacentral:rRNA from 1 species
AGUGAACGCUGGCGGUAGGCCUAACACAUGCAAGUCGAACGGCAGCACAGUAAGAGCUUGCUCUUACGGGUGGCGAGUGGCGGACGGGUGAGGAAUACAUCGGAAUCUACUUUUUCGUGGGGGAUAACGUAGGGAAACUUACGCUAAUACCGCAUACGACCUACGGGUGAAAGCAGGGGAUCUUCGGACCUUGCGCGAUUGAAUGAGCCGAUGUCGGAUUAGCUAGUUGGCGGGGUAAAGGCCCACCAAGGCGACGAUCCGUAGCUGGUCUGAGAGGAUGAUCAGCCACACGGGAACUGAGACACGGUCCAGACUCCUACGGGAGGCAGCAGUGGGGAAUAUUGGACAAUGGGCGCAAGCCUGAUCCAGCCAUACCGCGUGAGUGAAGAAGGCCUUCGGGUUGUAAAGCCCUGUUGUUGGGAAAGAAAAGCAGCAGGUUAAUACCCCGCUGUUCUGACGGUACCCAAAGAAUAAGCACCGGCUAACUUCGUG